AACGAACGCUGGCGGCGUGCCUAACACACGCAAGUCGUGCGAGAAAGUUCCUUCGGGAGCGAGUAAAGCGGCGCACGGGUGAGUAACACGUAGGUAACCUGCCCCCCAGUCUGGAACAACUAGAGGAAACUCUAGCUAAUGCCGGAUGAGACCACGAUCCCUUCGGGGGUUGCGGCCAAAGAUGGCCUCUACUUGUAAGCUAUCGCUGAGGGAUGGGCCUGCGGGCCAUUAGCUUGUUGGUGAGGUAACGGCUCACCAAGGCUGUGAUGGCUAGCUGGUCUGAGAGGAUGACCAGCCACACUGGGACUGAGACACGGCCCAGACUCCUACGGGAGGCAGCAGUGGGGAAUAUUGCGCAAUGGGCGAAAGCCUGACGCAGCGACGCCGCGUGGGUGAUGAAGGCCU
rnacentral:rRNA from 1 species